ensembl:miRNA
UGGUUUCUCCAUGGGUGGGGAUUUGUUGCAUUACUUGUAGCUAUGUGUAGAGUAUUGCACUUGUCCCGGCCUGUGGAGGAAAGGAGG